AUUGAACGCUGGCGGCAUGCCUUACACAUGCAAGUCGAACGGUAACAGGUCUUCGGAUGCUGACGAGUGGCGAACGGGUGAGUAAUACAUCGAAACGUGCCCGAUCGUGGGGGAUAACGAAGCGAAAGCUUUGCUAAUACCGCAUACGAUCUAAGGAUGAAAGCAGGGGACCGCAAGGCCUUGCGCGAACGGAGCGGCCGAUGGCAGAUUAGGUAGUUGGUGGGAUAAAGGCUUACCAAGCCGACGAUCUGUAGCUGGUCUGAGAGGACGACCAGCCACACUGGGACUGAGACACGGCCCAGACUCCUACGGGAGGCAGCAGUGGGGAAUUUUGGACAAUGGGCGAAAGCCUGAUCUAGCCAUGCCGCGUGCAGGAUGAAGGCCUUCGGGUUGUAAACUGCUUUUGUACGGAACGAAAAGACUCUGGUUAAUACCUGGGGUCCAUGACGGUACCGUAAGAAUAAGCACCGGCUAACUACGUGCCAGCAGCCGCGGUAA
rnacentral:rRNA from 1 species